GAUUUCUGAACAUCAGUUUCUAGUCGGCCACGGUUUCGUGUGUUAGUGCUUGAAACUUUGUUCAUCCUUUCAAUUACUAUAUAUUGAUCUUCAUUGAUUGGUGUAUAGUAUUGAAUCUUUUACUUUGAAAAAAUUAGAGUGUUUCAAGCAGGCUUUAUGCUAUGAAUACAUUAGCAUGGAAUAAUAAUUUAGGACUUCGGUUCUAUUUUGUUGGUUUCUAGGACUGAAGUAAUGAUUGAUAGGGAUAGUUUGGGGGUGCUAGUAUUCAGCGGCCAGAGGUGAAAUUCUCGGAUUCGCUGAAGACUAACUUAUGCGAAAGCAUU
rnacentral:rRNA from 1 species